UGAGGAAUAUUGGUCAAUGGACGCAAGUCUGAACCAGCCAAGUAGCGUGCAGGAUGACGGCCCUAUGGGUUGUAAACUGCUUUUAUAUGGGGAUAAAGUGGGGAACGUGUUCCCUUUUGCAGGUACCAUAUGAAUAAGGACCGGCUAAUUCCGUGCCAGCAGCCGCGGUAAUACGGAAGGUUCGGGCGUUAUACGGAUUUAUUGGGUUUAAAGGGAGCGUAGGCCGUUUGGUAAGCGUGUUGUGAAAUGUAGGAGCUCAACUUCUAGAUUGCAGCGCGAACUGUCAGACUUGAGUGCGCACAACGUAGGCGGAAUUCAUGGUGUAGCGGUGAAAUGCUUAGAUAUCAUGAAGAACUCCGAUUGCGAAGGCAGCUUACGGGAGCUCAACUGACGCUGAAGCUCGAAGGUGCGGGUAUCGAACAGG
rnacentral:rRNA from 1 species